rnacentral:lncRNA from 1 species
CCCCUUGACUUUGGAAUUGUAGUUCCAAGUUAGAUUUCCUUCUUGUUUGUUGAAUGUUGACAAAGAUAAAUAAUUUCCAUUUCUUUGGGCGCAUAAGAAGACCAGCGCUGAGAAUACCCCAUAUUGAAUACUUUGCAUAGAUAAGCAAUAUAAAUGCUUUGUGUUGGAUGAAUCAGAAAACCGUUGCAAGAAUACCCGAAUAACAUAAGAUGGCCCAUGUCGAAGUUGAGAGAUAUGAUACUCUGAUCAUGUGAGAAAGCCCGUCAUAAUAUUUGUCGAGUCUGAACAAUAUACCCCCUGUUGUUGAGCGCGUAAGAAAUCCAGCGCGUGAGAAGACCAAUAGAUAACAGUGGCACGCCCAAGAGGCGGCUUAUUUCUCGCUGAGCAGCGAUUAGA